rnacentral:RNase_P_RNA from 2 species
GUGGAGGGUCGGAUGACCGCGCUGUUGCGUCCUUUCGGGGGCGCGCAUCGAGGAAAGUCCGGACUCCGUGAUGGAAUGGUGCCAGGUAACGCCUGGGCAGAGCAAUCUGACGGAUAGCGCCACAGAAAACAGACCGCCUUGCAUGCAAGGUAAGGGUGAAACGGUGGUUUAAGAGACCACCGCGUCGCUGGUAACAGGGACGGCAUGGCAAGCCCCACCAGGAGCAAUGCCAAAUAGGAACCGCGUGCCUGAUUUCGGUCGGGCGGGGCGCCAUCGGCCCCAGCAGGUUCGGGUUGGCAGCUUGACGGGCUUGGUGACAGGUCCGCUAGAGGAAUGGUCAUCCAGAGGUGGUAACGCCUUGGACAAAAUCCGGCUUAUAGACCCUCCACACAU